AGAAUCAAUGCUGGCGGCGUGCCUAACACAUGCAAGUCGAACGAGAAAGGGUAGCAAUACCUGAGUAAAGUGGCGCACGGGUGAGUAACACGUGACUAACCUACCCUGGAGUGGGGGAUAACUGAGGGAAACCUUAGCUAAUACCGCAUAACACCUACGGGUCAAAGGAGCAAUUCGCUUCAGGAGGGGGUCGCGGCCGAUUAGUUAGUUGGCGGGGUAAUGGCCCACCAAGACAGUGAUCGGUAUCCGGCCUGAGAGGGCGCACGGACACACUGGAACUGAAACACGGUCCAGACUCCUACGGGAGGCAGCAGUGGGGAAUUUUGCGCAAUGGGGGAAACCCUGACGCAGCAACGCCGCGUGGAGGAUGAAGUCCUUCGGGACGUAAACUCCUUUCGAUCGGGACGAUAAUGACGGUACCGGAAGAAGAAGCCCGGCUAACUUCGUGCCAGCAGCCGC
rnacentral:rRNA from 1 species